rnacentral:rRNA from 1 species
UACGAAGGGGGCUAGCGUUGCUCGGAUUGACUGGGCGUAAAGGGCGCGUAGGCGGUUCGUACAGUCAGACGUGAAAUUCCUGGGCUCAACCUGGGGGCUGCGUUUGAUACGUGCGGACUUGAGUGCGGAAGAGGGUCGUGGAAUUCCCAGUGUAGAGGUGAAAUUCGCAGAUAUCGGGAAGAACACCCGUGGCGAAGGCGGCUCUCUGGGACGGUACUGACGCUGAGACGCGAAAGCGUGGGGAGCGAACAGG